rnacentral:rRNA from 1 species
AGAAUCAACGCUGGCGGCGUGCCUAACACAUGCAAGUCGCACGAGAAAGGGGAGCAAUCCCUGAGUACAGUGGCGCACGGGUGAGUAACACGUGAAUCAUCUACCUCCGAGUGGGGAAUAACUGAGAGAAAUCUUAGCUAAUACCGCAUAAUACCCACGGGUCAAAGCAGCAAUGCGCUUGGAGAGGAGUUCGCGGCAGAUUAGUUAGUUGGCGGGGUAAUGGCCCACCAAGACGAUGAUCUGUAUCCGGCCUGAGAGGGCGCACGGGACACACUGGAACUGAAACACGGUCCAGACUCCUACGGGAGGCAGCAGUGGGGAAUUUUUGCGCAAUGGGGGAAACCCUGACGCAGCAACGCCGCGUGGAGGAUGAAGCCCCUUGGGGUGUAAACUCCUUUCGAUCGGGAAGAUAAUGACGGUACCGAUAUAAGAAGCCCCGGCUAACUUCGCGCCAGCAGCCGC